CCGCAGAGGACGCGGAUGGCCAUGCACCGGAUCCUGGGCGCGGGCCUGGCUCUACGUCUCCUGCGGGUGGCGGGGCGGCGGGGCCGGGGCUGCCCGGCGCGCCUGCUGCCGGGUCCGGCGGGAGGCCGAGCGCCCGCGGCGGACGUGCCGCCGUGCCGAGAGGCGCCGCGAGGCCUGGGCCCGGGCCUGCUGUCGCUGCUGGCAGCGCUCGCCUGGUCCUCGAGGCCCGCCCCGGCGGAGCAGGAGCGGGAGCGGCAGGGCGCGGGCGGGGCGGCGGCCGGGGACGCCGAGGCCGAGAUCAUCCAGCUGCUGAAGCGAGCCAAGUUGUGCAUCAUGAAAGAUGAGCCAGCAGAGGCAGAGCUAAUUUUGCAUGAUGCUCUUCGUCUUGCCUAUAAGAGUGAUAACAAGAAGGCCAUCACUUACACUUACGAUUUGAUGGCCAACUUAGCAUUUAUACGGGGUCAGCUUGAAAAUGCGGAAAAACUUUUUAAAGCAACAAUGAGUUACCUGCUUGGAGGGGGCAUGCAACAGGAAGACAAUGCAAUAAUAGAAAUCUCUGUAAAGCUGGCCACUAUUUAUGCUGCUCAGAAUAGACAGGAGCUGGCUCUUGCUGGUUAUGAAUUCUGCAUUUCAACUCUAGAGGAAAAAAUUGGGAGAGAAAAGGAAUUAUCAGAAGACACUUUGUCAGUGGAAGAGAAAGCCAACACCCACCUCCUCUUGGGCAUGUGCCUAGAGACCUAUGCCCGCUACCUUCUGUUCUCCAAGCAGCCAUCACAGGCACAAAGGAUGUAUGAAAAAGCUUUGCAGAUUGCUGAAGAAAUACUAGGAGAAAGACACCCCCAGACCAUCGUGCUGCUGAGUGACCUGGCCACCACCCUGGAUGCGCAGGGCCGCUCCGACGAGGCCUGUGUUCACGCACAGAGGGCGUCAGACCUGGCGAGACAGGUGGAGCACCCUGAGCUCCACGUGCUGCUCAGUAAUCUGGCUGCGGUCCUGAUGCACAGAGAACGAUAUGCACAAGCAGAAGAGAUCUACCAGGAAGCACUGAAGCGAGCAAAGCUGAAAAGAGAUGAGGUUUCUGUGCAGCGCAUCAGGGAAGAGCUGGCUGGGCUGUCAAGAAAAAGGAGACCUUUGUCGUAGCCUUGCCGAGCUCUGGACCCCUUUCUGUUGUAGCGAAUUUAUGGUAACACCUCUCAUUCCAGUCCCAGUGGCACCCUGAUCAAUGGCUUAAAUCCUCUGUCCCUGAUACUCAAGUCCCCUCAACUUAGCCUUGCUGGAGGACAAGCUGUACACACUGUGUGCACUGCCGCGUUUGCUUUGCGAAGAAAGCUCCCCCCCCGCCCACCUGAUUUUGCUUCUGCGACUGGUGUCGGUUAAUGCUUUCCGUUGCAGCAGACGGCUGGUUAGGUGCUGUCCAUGCUGGCCCGAGAAUAACUCUAGAUUAAGAGGGGCCAGUUUCCCUCUGGGGUGGGGUCUGGCAUUUCAGCCAGGCGUCUCUCCCAUAAGAUUUUUGUCCACUGAUUUGCUGCCUUCUCUUAUCAACACCUGGCAGACCAGAGCUACCGGUCUCAUGGCAAAGGGGGAUGACAGUUUUACUGAGAAUUUCUGACCCUCCUCGUUGAUGCGGCUCCCGGUCCCGGAACACCUGCGGGAGUUUUCAGACAGCUCCUCUGCACGCGGCGCGGUCACUACAGUUCACUGCACUGAGGCAGCGAAACGAGGAGGACUGGCCUGCCACUGACGGGGCUGAAUCCAAAGUUUGAAUGACAACAGCUGGGACAACCUGGGAGCUACUUGUAAAGCACUGUGCCAGAAAUAGAAGGAAUUUGGGAACAUAAACGGUGUUUUCAUCACAUCUUCCAACUCGAUUUUGAGACUUUGAAAGAGAAAGAACGUAGGAAGUAAAGUCGGUGGCUAUAAACAAGCGGUGUCCCAGAGAAGAAUGUGCAGACCCCAGAAGGGGGGCCCGUCCGUGCAGAUGGGGAGCACAUAUGAGCCCAGACGCUGACUUCUGGGAUCAGGGAAAACUGUCCGGGCGGGAGAAGGAAGCUCCAGGAAGACUGCACAGCAGGGACCAUGCGGUACAGGCUCCUCACGUACAGGUCAGGAAAUGGUAGAUGAACGGAACUUGAAACAGCACAGGGUGGUAGGGCCAGCCUGGUAGUUACCACAAAACCUGGGGAAUAGGACUCAUUCAUUUCACAAAUAUUUACUGAGCGAUUAUUUGGCUGAAUAAUAAAAUCACCUUCAUAUUGAUCAAAAAUGGUCAUAUGAAAAAAAAAUGGUCACAUGAAGACAAUUUCAUAUUGUUCAACCAACGAUAACACUAAGGUACUGGACUUAAAAUGCACCCCUUCCUCCACCUGUGGAGCUCACAGGUCAGCGGGGUGCUCUCUGAGGCCAUCAGGUCUGAAUCACCUGGGGGGCUUAGUAAAGUGCCAGUUUCUGAGAUUCCUGCAGCCCAGUAGGCACGUGUUUUCACAAGCCCUCCAGGUGACUGUGACGGGUAGUGACGCUUGAGGGCCCCUGGUGUAAGACAGAUGGGCAGACUUACGAGAGGACACGGUAAUUACUCAGAAAUGAGGGAAAGGCAGACAGACACUCAGGAGACGUUGAGGCUGACGGGACAGCACCCGGGAGAGCGAGUUGCGGAGCCUCGUGAGGGAACCCUGGAGCGGGGUGGCGGGGGGGGGGGGCGUGGAGGAACAGAGGCCUCUGUGUGGAGAGCCAGCGUGGGGAGUCAUUUUAGACAUUUAAGGAGCCAGUAAGACGUUCAAGAAGCAAUGAGGGCAGCAAAGAGCUUAGUAGAAAAAGCUGAACUCGAGGUACAAGUUUGGGAGUUUUCGGCACAUAGUGCAAACCGCCAGAGUGGAUGAAACGCCUCCGAGAAUACGGUGCAAGAGGAGAGACUGAAAACCAGCACCCAAGAGCCAGGCACAGCAGGACGUAGCUUCUAAGGACACAUAAGAAAUGGUCAAAGAAGUAGAGAAAAGAACAGGAGAAAGCAGUCCCUGAAAGCCAAGAGGAGAAAGUAUUUCCGGAAGAGGGAAGUGGGUCACUAAUGUCAACGGCAGAGAGAUCAGAUAAAGUAAGUUUUAAAGCAUGAAGUUUUUUGCACAGUAAAGGCACUGAUGUCCUCGGUGGGAGCCCUGAGGUGAAUUGAAGCUGUCUUGCUUGCCCAGGGCUUGGAUUUCUCAGUUCUACUUCCUGGUGAGAACCCAAUGUGCCUGGGGUCCCACGAGCCCACUGGUUCCUUAGUACAACCCCUUAAUUGUCCCUUUCCACAAUCAGAAAUCCCAAACUAAAGCAAAUUUUGUUACUACUUGCCUUACGACAUUAAUAAAAUUUACCUUCUGUUAAAGU